AGCAGGAAACCUCCGCGCACUAAGUGUGGUACUCACGCCUCACAGGCCGCACUCCAUUUCAUUCUGGCACCCGGGGCCAUUACUUACCCAGUGAAAGAAGCCUCUAGAGUAGAAUGAGGUGCUUGAAUAGCUACCGACGCUUGCAGUGGACAGAAACUACAGCUGAAAUUCUCUCAUAGAAGCCUGGGAAUGAUGGCCUCAUAUGUAUAGCUGAACUUUUACUGAAGCACUGAGCUCUGAUGAAUGCAAUUAAGUGAGUAAAGACCAGACUCCAUUACAAAACUGGGGAUAGGAAGAGCAAUAUAUGGGCAAAAGAAUGAAAGAAAAACAGUCACUGAGGGAAAAGAAAAUCGGAGUGACAUCUACUAUUGUUCUCACCCACUUUUGAGACAUGGUACUUUUAUUACGGCUGA
rnacentral:lncRNA from 1 species